rnacentral:snRNA from 1 species
ACAGCAGCAGCCUUUAGGCUAAGAUCAAAUGGUAGUGUCUGUUCUUAUCAGCUUAAUAUCUGAUACGGUCCCCCCACUUUUUUUGUGGGGGGAGGGGGCAUCGAUAUUAAGCUGAUUUUUAGAACAAGGUGAAGAGUUAGGGGCUUGCUCUGCCUUUGCCACAGGUUUGCCUGGUCUUCCAGUACUUACAGGAUUCAGCCCAUUUAAC